CCGAACUCACCGCCGUUGAAAAGUUGGGAGAUGAGAUAGGUCUAGGGGUGAAAAGCCAAUCGAACUAGGAGAUAGCUCGUUCUCUCCGAAAUGCAUUUAGGUGCAGCCUUGAACUGAGAUAUGUGGGGGUAGAGCUCUGUAUGAUCUAGGGGGCGUACUGCUUACCGAAAUCAAGCAAACUUCGAAUACCAUAUAUUAUGUUCAGGAGUGAGUCCGUGGAUGACAAGGUCCUCGGACGAGAGGGGAACAGCCCAGACCGCCAGCUAAGGUCCCUAAUUAUGUCUAAGUGGGAAAGGAGGUGGAUAUUCACAGACAACCAGGAGGUUGGCUUAGAAGCAGCCAUACCUUAAAAGAGUGCGUAAUAGCUCACUGGUCGAGAGUAUCUGCGCCGAAGAUGUAACGGGGCUAAGACAUAAACCGAAGCUGUGGAAGAUGCUUUCGCAUCUUGGUAGGAGAGCGUUCUGUAAGCCGAUGAAGGCAGGCUGCAAGGCCUGCUGGAGGUAUCAGAAGUGAGAAUGCAGGAAUGAGUAGCGAGAAGGCGGGCGAGAAUCCCGCCGGCCGGAAGUCCAAGGUUUCCAGGGGAAGGCUUGUCCGCCCUGGGGAAGUCGGGACCUAAGCAUAAGCAAAAUUGUGAUGGCGAAUGGAAAACAGGUUAAUAUUCCUGUACCGCUGUUAUCGCUUGAGAGACGGAGUGACGCAGGAAGGUAUGCGAGAAGGCUGACGGUUUAGCCUUUCUAAGGGCCCAGCGUGGGCGUGCAGGCAAAUCCGCACGCCUAAACGUGAGACCUGACGGGGAAGUGCAUUUGCAUAAGUCGCAGAUCCUACACUGCCAAGAAAAACUUCUAUCGAUGAGAAGCAGCGCCCGUACUGUAAACCGACACAGGUGGACAGAGUGAGAAACUUAAGGCCGACAGGAUAACUCUAGCUAAGGAACUCUGCAAAAUAGCCCCGUAACUUCGGGAGAAGGGGUGCCUGACAUACCUGAAGGAGAGAAGCGCUCCCAGGGGAAACAGGCCGCAGUGAAGAGUCUCAAGCAACUGUUUACCAAAAACACAGGUCUAUGCUAAGCUGAAAGGCGACGUAUAUGGGCUGACACCUGCCCAGUGCCGGAAGGUUAAGAGGAGGAUUGAGAGAUCCGAAUUGAAGCCCCGGUGAACGGCGGCCGUAACUAUAACGGUCCUAAGGUAGCGAAAUUCCUUGUCGGGUAAGUUCCGACCUGCACGAAUGGUGAAAUGAUUUGAGAGCUGUCUUGGCUGGAGACCUGGUGAAGUUGUAAUGCCGGUGAAGAUACCGGCUACCUGCAGUAGGACGGAAAGACCCCGUGGAGCUUUACUGUAGCUUGGCAUUGGGUU
rnacentral:rRNA from 1 species